rnacentral:rRNA from 1 species
UCCUCCGUAGGUGAACCUGCGGAGGGAUCAUUACACAAAUAUGAAGGCGGGCUGGAACCUCUGGGGGUUACAGCCUUGAAGAAUUAGUCACCGUUGUCUUUUGCGUACUUCUUGUUUCCUUGGUGGGUUCGCCCACCAUUAGGACAAACAUAAACCUUUGGUAAUGCCAAUCAGCGUCCGUAACAAAUUAAUAAUUACAACUUUCAACAACGGAUCUCUUGGUUCUGGCAUCGAUGAAGAACGCAGCGAAAUGCGAUAAGUAGUGUGAAUUGCAGAAUUCAGUGAAUCAUCGAAUCUUUGAACGCACAUUGCGCCCUUUGGUAUUCCAAAGGGCAUGCCUGUUCGAGCGUCAUUUGUACCCUCAAGCUUUGCUUGGUGUUGGGCGUCUUGUCUCUAACUUUGGCGGGGACUCUGCCUUAAAGUAAUUGGCAGCCGGCCUUCUGGUUUUGGAGCGCAGCACAAAUCGCACUCUCUAUCCAGCACAAGGGUCUAGCUCCAUUAAGCCUUUUUUCAACUUUUGACCUCGAAUCAGGUAGGGAUACCCGCUGAACUUACUCAUAUCAAGAGGCGGAAG